AGCUGAUAACAUCACAUAACCUUUGAAAUAUAAACAACGUUUAUAUACAAACAUUAAUAAUAACUAUCAGUAAGUUUCAUUUUGCCCGUCGAUCCGCAAUCAAUUAUAAAUCAUGAAGUUACUGGUGUUAUUGGUUGCUCUUGCUUAUUCUGCUACGGCAAGAAUUAUUGACGAAAACUGUGAUGGAAUUAUUGUUCAUAAUAUUAACCAUAUCAAAGAAGUAUUAAAAGAAAACAUAGACAGUCCCUAUCAAUUAGCCAUCGAUUAUGACACAAAUAUGCUAUUUUUUAGCUAUUCCAGUUACGAUAAUGUUUCAAAGUUCAUUUCAGCAUAUAUUAAUUUAAAAACCAAUGAAUUCCAAAUAAUUGAUGGUAUUAAUGGCGGCUUUGCUAAUGGAGUUGAUGGUCGGAGUAACACGGUGUACAUGGGAGGAAACGAUGGAAUAUAUAAAUUUGAUUUUGAAAGCAAGAGAGCGCAACAUAUUGAUGGAACUACUCAUAAUAUAUGGCAAAUGUUCUUUAAAAAUGAUUUAUAUUAUACAAAUUAUCCACAAGAAAAUGUUUAUAUAUACAAAGAUGGCGAGUCUGAAAGGGUGCCCGAACUACUUGAAACAAAAGCUAUGCUAGUUGCUAUUGACAACAAUGACAAUAUAUAUUAUUCUAAUUCAUCGGGCCUCUAUGUCCAUAAGAAGGCGAAGAGUUAUGUAUCUUACUUGGGCGAUUACAAUCUAAACGGCAUAACAAGUGACAUUUCUGGUAAUUUAUUCUUCUCUACGCCCGAUGGUAUAUACUUUAUCGAUGAUAAAAGUAAAAGGAUAGAGAAACUAGCUACAAUAACAAAUGUUUACGGAGUGGCCGUGGAAAGCGACGGAAAUAUAAUAUACGCGUCGCAAGACAGUAUCGUGAGACUGAAACCAACCAAAACGCACUGCUUUGUCAAUGAAAAAUAUGGAGAAGCGUUUUAAAUUACAUAUUUAAUGGAAUUGACUGCGUGCAUUUAUGUAUUAAGGAAUCUGUAUCAUGGUUUACGACAUUACUGUAUACUCAAGUAAUUUGUUUUAUCUGAUAUUAAUAUUAUAUUAUUUAAAAAUUUUUACAUCGGGUUAUAUGAAAUAAAAUACUUUAGCAACGACUAAUUCAUGAAACAUUUAUUUUCUUAAGACUAUCGGAUAUUCUCCAAUGCUUUGUUCAGUUUUAUCGUUUUAUUUCUCUUUAAAGAAGCUUAUGCUAUUUAAAUAGUAUAAGAGAUUAUGUGUUAUAACGCCAUCUAGUGGCGUGAGUGAGUGAACAAUAGUGAUUGUACAAAAAAAUAAAAUUAAUGAAAAAAUGUAUAUAAGUAACAACUUACACGAUAUAAGCGCUCAAACGGUGUUGAUUUAAAAGUCUAUUAAUCUCAAGCAGAUCCUUUAAUUAUAAAUAGCUCUAAUAUUUUUACAUAAAUUAUUUAAAAUUCAUGUAAUUUAAAUUACAUUAAAUUGAUAUGAACUAUUCUGUGCAUCUUUUAAAGUAGACUUUUAAUAAACAUAUUCUCACAAUAAUAUUAUUUAAACAUAUAAAACUUUAAUAAUUAUAUUAGCAUUAUAAUAAAGAUGUUGUAUUGUAUCUACAUGACGUAUUAUAGAUAAAGAAUACAUUAAAAUGUUAGCAAAACAUUGCUUUUAUUUUUUAUCACAUUUUGUUAUUAGUUUGCAAAGCUGGUUUACUGUAUAUUACUAAACAAAGAAAUUCCUAAGGGGAAUCGCGAUGCUUCUGUUGAGAGCUUAUGUUCCUCAUAAUCACGUAGUGACAUUAUACUAUAGAACUCGAGCUGUAAGUUUAUUAGCGUUAAAACUUCACCUUUUAUAAAUGAAGUUACCUUAAGCAACACUUCAUUAUUAUGUUUUAUUUAUUACAAGUCUAAGUGAAAUACAAUACAUCUGUUGGAAAGAA